ACUCAAAUGAAUUGACGGGGGCCCGCACAAGCAGUGGAGUAUGUGGUUUAAUUCGAAGCAACGCGAAGAACCUUACCAGGGCUUGACAUAGCAUUGACCGCUUUAGAGAUAGAGCUUUCCUUCGGGACAAUGUAUACAGGUGGUGCAUGGUUGUCGUCAGCUCGUGUCGUGAGAUGUUGGGUUAAGUCCCGCAACGAGCGCAACCCCUGUUGUUAGUUGCCAUCAUUAAGUUGGGCACUCUAGCGAGACUGCCGGUGAUAAAUCGGAGGAAGGUGGGGACGACGUCAAAUCAUCAUGCCCCUUAUGUCCUGGGCUACACACGUACUACAAUGGCUAUUACAGAGCGAUGCAAUACCGUAAGGUGGAGCCAAACGCAAAAAAUAGUCCCAGUUCAGAUUGUGGGCUGAAACUCGCCCACAUGAAGUCGGAAUUGCUAGUAAUGGCAGGUCAGCAUACUGCCGUGAAUACGUUCCCGGGCCUUGUACACACCGCCCGU
rnacentral:rRNA from 1 species